rnacentral:rRNA from 1 species
GAUGAAGGAGGAGCUUGCUCCUCUGGAUUAGUGGCGAACGGGUGAGUAACACGUGAGCAAUGUGCCCUUGACUCUGGAAUAAGCGCUGGAAACGGCGUCUAAUACCGGAUACGACCUUCGGAGGCAUCUCCUGUUGGUGGAAAGAACUUCGGUCAAGGAUCAGCUCACGGCCUAUCAGCUUGUUGGUGAGGUAACGGCUCACCAAGGCGACGACGGGUAGCCGGCCUGAGAGGGUGACCGGCCACACUGGGACUGAGACACGGCCCAGACUCCUACGGGAGGCAGCAGUGGGGAAUAUUGCACAAUGGGCGCAAGCCUGAUGCAGCAACGCCGCGUGAGGGACGACGGCCUUCGGGUUGUAAACCUCUUUUAGCAGGGAAGAAGCGAAAGUGACGGUACCUGCAGAAAAAGCACCGGCUAACUACGUGCCAGCAGCCGCGGUAAUACGUAGGGUGCAAGCGUUGUCCGGAAUUAUUGGGCGUAAAGAGCUCGUAGGCGGUUUGUCGCGUCUGCUGUGAAAUCCCGAGGCUCAACCUCGGGCUUGCAGUGGGUACGGGCAGACUAGAGUGCGGUAGGGGAGAUUGGAAUUCCUGGUGUAGCGGUGGAAUGCGCAGAUAUCAGGAGGAACACCGAUGGCGAAGGCAGAUCUCUGGGCCGUAACUGACGCUGAGGAGCGAAAGCAUGGGGAGCAAACAGGCUUAGAUACCCUGGUAGUCCAUGCCGUAAACGUUGGGAACUAGAUGUGGGGACCAUUCCACGGUCUCCGUGUCGUAGCU